GGGAAUGUAGCUCAAAAGAUAGAGUGCUCGCUUAGCAUGCGAGAGAUACAGGGAUUGAUACCCUGCUUCUUCA
rnacentral:tRNA from 1 species